UGAACUCAUAUACAUGUAUAUAUACACAUAUUCCCGUCCAUAAUAUCAUAGGGAAUGACCAAAGUGCCUUUAAAAUUUAAAUAAUGUCAAAUCUGUCCUUUGGUGGACUGUUUUGAUAAGCUAAAGUAGAUCGACCAUAACUCUUUGCUCCGAUAUCGGAUUUGGGUGAAAUUGGUAUCGUUGGAAAGAUAAUUCAAAGGGAUUUCAUUUCAUAUAAAGUAGGCCACCCAGUUCUUCCUGUACAAGGAGUUAUGGUCCUUUGAAG
rnacentral:lncRNA from 1 species